rnacentral:rRNA from 1 species
UACGAAGGGAGCUAGCGUUGUUCGGAAUUACUGGGCGUAAAGGGCGCGUAGGCGGCCUGCUAAGUCGAACGUGAAAUCCCUGGGCUCAACCCAGGAACUGCGUCCGAUACUGGUUGGCUUGAAUCCGGGAGAGGGACGUGGAAUUCCAGGUGUAGCGGUGAAAUGCGUAGAUAUCUGGAGGAACACCGGUGGCGAAGGCGACGUCCUGGACCGGUAUUGACGCUGAGGCGCGAAAGCCAGGGGAGCAAACGGG